UUCCAUCAACGGUCCAGGAGGACUUCAAGGACCACGUCGCAUUCCACCACCAAAGCCACCUCGAUCCAACGGUCCGUUGGACCACCACGGUCUGUUGAAGAAGCGAAGCAGGAAGGAUUUUCUUCUGCAAAUGAUGACGAUGGAAUUGGGCCCAAGCCUACCAGCAAUACUGACAUACAAUCAUCUGCAGGUACAAGUGACAGAGGUGACACUCUUCAGGCAUCUGAGAAAAUUACACUUCAUGACACCACCCUGGAUCGCACAUGUACUUUAGGAUAUACACUGGGCAGGACUUCAUUGAGCAUAUCCAAUGAUGCUGGCCUAAAGGCUCAGUCAUCUAACUUUCCUCGAUGGAUGUUCCGUGUCAGACAAUGAGCUCAGUCAUUCCCCAGCAACCCUGGGGCUUUCUCCAGGAUUUGAGAAGACCGAGGGUCACAUAUCUGAUUGAAAUGCACAUGAGUAGUUGCAAAGACUAUUAAAGAUGGGAGAAAGCAGUGUGAAACAAUCUGGAAGCUCUUUUUUUUUUUUAAAGCGUCUGCCAGUGAUAAGAAAUGCAAAAGAGGAUGUGAAGUGGAUUCCACCUAUCUAGAAACUUUCUUUUGAGAAUGAACUUGAAUUAGUUUGGAGCUGAGGAAGUAAAAGACAAGACAUCAUCAGGAAUGUUGGAAGACAGCCCCUCUUCAUUUUACUGAGGAAUGAGAACAAGUGUCCCUUUUAACAGUCACUUGGUGUCCUUUUUUUCCAACACCCAUUUAUUUGUUGGCUCUUGGAGCUGUAAAAUAUACAGAAUAAAGAAAAAAUAUUAAGAGCUGCAAAAGAAAAAGGCCAAGUCACA